rnacentral:rRNA from 1 species
AACGAACGCUGGCGGCAGGCUUAACACAUGCAAGUCGAGCGCCCCGCAAGGGGAGCGGCAGACGGGUGAGUAUCGCGUGGGAAUCUACCGUGCCCUACGGAAUAGCUCCGGGAAACUGGAAUUCAUACCGUAUACGCCCUACGGGGGAAAGAUUUAUCGGGGUAUGAUGAGCCCGCGUUGGAUUAGCUAGUUGGUGGGGUAAAGGCCUACCAAGGCGACGAUCCAUAGCUGGUCUGAGAGGAUGAUCAGCCGCAUUGGGACUGAGACACGGCCCAGACGCCUACGGGAGGCAGCAGGGGGGAAUAUUGGACAAUGGGCGCAAGCCUGAGCCAGCCAUGCCGCGUGAGUGAUGAAGGUCUUAGGAUUGUAAAGCUCUUUCACCGGUGAAGAUAAUGACGGUAACCGGAGAAGAAGCCCCGGCUAACUUCGUGCCAGCCGCCGCAGUAA